rnacentral:rRNA from 1 species
UAAAAGUCGUAACAAGGUUUCCGUAGGUGAACCUGCGGAAGGAUCAUUAACGAAUAUAAUUCGAGGGGUUGUCGCUGGCCUCGCUCGCGAGGCAUGUGCACGCUUCUUGUUUUUCAUAACUCACCUGUGCACCUAAUGUAGGAUGCCUCUCCUCCGGGAGGGGGGACCUAUGUCUUCAUAUACAUCUUCGUGUAGAAAGUCUUUGAAUGUUUACUAUCAUCGAGUCGCGACUUCUAGGAGACGCGAUUCUUUGAGAUAAAAGUUAUUACAACUUUCAGCAAUGGAUCUCUUGGCUCUCGCAUCGAUGAAGAACGCAGCGAAAAGCGAUAUGUAAUGUGAAUUGCAGAUCUACAGUGAAUCAUCGAAUCUUUGAACGCACCUUGCGCUCCUCGGUGUUCCGAGGAGCAUGCCUGUUUGAGUGUCAGUAAAUUCUCAACCCCUCUCGAUUAGCUUCGAGAGGGCGCUUGGAUAGUGGAGGUUGCCGGAGACUUGGAUUCGUCCAGGACUCGGGCUCUUCUGAAAUGCAUCGGCUUGCGGUCGACUUUCGACUAUGCGCGACAAGGCUUUCGGCGUGAUAAUGAUCGCCGUUCGCUGAAGCGCAUGACUGAGGGUUCCGUGCCUCUAAUACGUCGACCACUUACUAUCUCUCCGGAGAGAACAGGGUCUUCCUUAUUGACUUUUGACCUCAAAUCAGGUAGGACUACCCGCUGAACUUAAGCAUAUCAAUAAGCGGAGGAAAAGAAACUAACAAGGAUUCCCCUAGUAACUGCGAGUGAAGCGGGAAAAGCUCAAAUUUUGAAUCUGGCGGUCUUUUGGCCGUCCGAGUUGUAAUCUAGAGAAGUGUUUUCCGCGCUGGACG